rnacentral:rRNA from 1 species
UACGUAGGGGGCAAGCGUUGUCCGGAUUUAUUGGGCGUAAAGAGCGUGUAGGCGGCUGGGUAGGUCUGCUGUGAAAACUCGAGGCUCAACCUCGAGACGUCGGCGGAAACCCUCCAGCUAGAGUCCGGAAGAGGAGAGUGGAAUUCCUGGUGUAGCGGUGAAAUGCGCAGAUAUCGUAAGGAAGACCAGUGGCGAAGGCGGGUCUCUGGACAGUUCCUGACACUGAGACACGAAGGCCAGGGGAGCAAACGGG